CAUCAGUACUUGAGUUUUUGUAGUAUUGAGAGGGUCAUAGCUAUGGAAUCUUCCUGGGGGAGAGCUCCGUCGAACUCUGCGGUCUGGACUUCUCUGCCUACGAGCUUGGAGAGGAGUUCGGACAUGCUUGUGUUCGGAGGGAGUUCAGGAACGCAGUCGAACUUCACUCGGCCCUUUUUCAACUGCGGGCUUGCCGGAGUCACCCACCUACCACUCCUUUGCGGCCUCCUCAUCUUUCAGCUUGAAGGC
rnacentral:lncRNA from 1 species